rnacentral:rRNA from 1 species
ACGGUACAACGAGUCGCAAGACCGUGAGGUUUUAGCAAAUCUCUUAAAGCCGUUCUCAGUUCGGAUUGUAGGCUGCAACUCGCCUACAUGAAGUCGGAAUCGCUAGUAAUCGCGGAUCAGCAUGCCGCGGUGAAUACGUUCCCGGGCCUUGUACACACCGCCCGUCACACCAUGAGAGUUUGUAACACCCAAAGCCGGUGGGGUAACCUUUUGGAGCCAGCCGUCUAAGGUGGGACAGAUGAUUGGGGUGAAGUCGUAACAAGGUAAC